AUACGGAGGGUGCAAGCGUUAAUCGGAAUUACUGGGCGUAAAGGGUACGUAGGCGGUUAUCUAAGUUGGAUGUGAAAGCCCCGGGCUCAACCUGGGAACUGCAUCCAAAACUGGGUAACUAGAGUGUAUAAGAGGUUAGCGGAAUUCCAGGUGUAGCAGUGAAAUGCGUAGAUAUCUGGAGGAACAUCAGUGGCGAAGGCGGCUAACUGGUAUAACACUGACGCUGAGGUACGAAAGCGUGGGGAGCGAACGGAAUUAGAAACCCUAGUAGUCC
rnacentral:rRNA from 1 species